GGUGUUAGUGAAGAUCCAUUUAUCACCUUAUCAUGAUUUAGAGCUGGUUUAAGAAAUGAUAUACAAAGAGAACUGUUUAUGCAUGAGGUCUAUAGUCUAGAACAAGCCUAUCAAUUAGCCUAGGAUUAUGAGAGAUUCCAAAAGUUGUUGGUAAUCGGACAACUUGAGUCACAUAAACCUGGUAUUUUUGGUCCUAGACCUAGCUUUAAUCAGACCCCU
rnacentral:lncRNA from 1 species